GGAGAGAUGGCCGAGCUGGCUGAAGGCGCUCGCCUGCUAAGCGAGUGUAGGGUUCAUAGCUCUACCGAGGGUUCGAAUCCCUCUCUCUCCGCCA
rnacentral:tRNA from 1 species